CCAGUUCCGGGUUCCGCUGAUCAGAAGCGGACAAGCAAACAGCGGAUGUGCAGUUCCUCUCUUCGCCGAACCCGGUUUUCCCUUUCGGAGCAGCGCGACCGAUUUCCGGUUUCCCCGCCGCAACCACCGUUACCCCCCCCCCGCCCCAAUCCCCGGCGACUCCAGCGACGUCACCGGUUCAGCUCCUGACCUUUCGGCGAACCGCAGAACCACAGGCGACCCGUUCGACGUCAUCACUCCCCGCCCAGAUGUCGCUGUGACAUCACCCCGCACGUGCCUGCGCUGGCACCGCGUCGUCCUGGCGAGCGCCUCCUCGCGGCGGAAGGAGAUCCUGGGGUUCGCUGUGCGAGACAUGUCGGCGGGGUUUCACGUGAGUGACACUUGGUCCCCACGGGAUUGACAGCGACUAGCGGAGUGGCAUGUGGACGUAGCUUCAGGUGACCUCACUGACCCCGCCCCUGACUCCACCCCUUGUGAUGACCCCACCACUGACCCACAGGCCUUGGAGGGGCUGAUCCUGGAGAAGUCAAAGGACCAGGAGGACGCCAUGGGGGGUGCUGUACAGGCUGAGCAGGAAGCAGAGCAGCACAGCGUCAUCAUGAGGGUAGCCAUCUUCACCUGGGGCAUCCACGGAGGCCCUGCCCAGGAAGUGACUUUCUCUCUACUGUAGGAGGAGCUGAUCCACGACUACUUGGACAACAGCACACCAGCGAAGGAUGGUGGAAGAAAAGUGUUUUGAAACUGACCCUACAGAUAAAAGAGUUCAUCAUGAAUGCGAUACCCUCCUAUACAGUUGUUAGAAGCAACCCUCCAUCUCCAACUCCAAAAAUAAAUGAAAACCAAACCACACAGUUGGAAAUCAGGGGUCUGCAACAACACAAGGAAGCAAGCAACCCGUGAGAAAGCACUGGCAUGGAUGAAAACAGACUCACUGGAAAGAUGCAAAGCAAUGUCAGGUUACACAACAAAAGGCAAUUACAGUCAUAUGAGGGAGUGUUCGAAAAGUUGUAAUUUGAAAACUGUUUUUGGUUGUCCUUUAGUUGGCCUCCUCUGUAAAUUGUGACAGACAUCUCCUGACAACACUUAAAGCAUCUCAAACCAUCCUUGCCCUGAUCUAUGAGUUCUCAGAACAGAAGGACUACUGAGCCAGGCGUGGUAGCACAUGCCUGUGAUCCUACAACUCAGAAGACAGAAGAGGAAUUCUAGGUCAGCCUGGGCUAGACAGACAGCAAGACUCUUGUUUUGUUUUGAAAGGCUGGUGAGGUAGUUCAGCGGGUUAACUGCCUGGUCUAAGCCCAGUGACGUGAGUUUGUGUGCUGUGGAGCUUCUGCAAACCCUGCCCCUGCCAAAUAAAAACUCGUAAUUUAUAACUCACAAAAA
rnacentral:lncRNA from 1 species